AGUGAACGCUGGCGGUAGGCCUAACACAUGCAAGUCGAACGGCAGCACAGUAAGAGCUUGCUCUUACGGGUGGCGAGUCGCGGACGGGUGAGGAAUACAUCGGAAUCUACUUUUUCGUGGGGGAUAACGUAGCGAAACUUACGCUAAUACCGCAUACGACCUACGGGUGAAAGCAGGGGAUCUUCGGACCUUGCGCGAUUGAAUGAGCCGAUGUCGGAUUAGCUAGUUGGCGGGGUAAAGGCCCACCAGGGCGACGAUCCGUAGCUGGUCUGAGAGGAUGAUCAGCCACACGGGAGGUUGAACACGCACCAUGGGCCUACGGGAGGCAGCAGUGGGGAAUAUUGGGCAGUGGGCGCGAGCCUGGUCCAGCCAGACGACGUGGGUGGAAGAGGCCUUCGGUUUGUAAAGCCCUUUUGUUGGGAAAGAAAAGCAGCAGGUUAAUACCCCGCGGUUCUGACGGUACCCAAAGAAUAAGCACCGGCUAACUUCGUG
rnacentral:rRNA from 1 species